GAUGAACGCUAGCUACAGGCUUAACACAUGCAAGUCGAGGGGCAGCAUGGUCCGGAGCAAUCCGGACCGAUGGCGACCCGGCGGAUGGGUGAGUAACGCGUAUCCAACCUGGCCCGCACUGGGGGAUAGCCUCCCGAAAGGGAAAUUAACACCCCAUAUUGUCGUGAUGAGGCAUCUUUUUGCGAUGAAAUUUUUUAGGUGCGGGAUGGGGAUGCGUCCCAUUAGGUUGUUGGCGGGGUAACGGCCCACCAAGCCUUCGAUGGGUAGGGGUUCUGAGAGGAAGGUCCCCCACAUUGGAACUGAGACACGGUCCAAACUCCUACGGGAGGCAGCAGUGAGGAAUAUUGGUCAAUGGGCGCGAGCCUGAACCAGCCAAGUAGCGUGCGGGAUGACGGCCCUACGGGUUGUAAACCGCUUUUGUCCGCGGGUAAAAGGCGCCACGUGUGGUGCGUAUGGAAAGUAGCGGGCGAAUAAGGAUCGGCUAAUUCCGUGCCAGCAGCCGCGGUAAUACGGAAGAUCCGAGCGUUAUCCGGAUUUAUUGGGUUUAAAGGGAGCGCAGGCGGGGCGCCAAGUCAGUUGUGAAAUGCCGCGGCUCAACCGUGGAGCUGCAGUUGAAACUGGUGCUCUUGAGUACACACAGGGACGGUGGAAUUCGUGGUGUAGCGGUGAAAUGCUUAGAUAUCACGAAGAACUCCGAUCGCGAAGGCAGCCGUCCGGGGUGUCACUGACGCUGAGGCUCGAAAGUGCGGGUAUCGAACAGGAUUAGAUACCCUGGUAGUCCGCACCGUAAACGAUGGAUACCCGUGGUCGGCGACACACAGUCGGUCACCAAGCGAAAGCGUUAAGUAUCCCACCUGGGGAGUACGCCGGCAACGGUGAAACUCAAAGGAAUUGACGGGGGCCCGCACAAGCGGAGGAACAUGUGGUUUAAUUCGAUGAUACGCGAGGAACCUUACCCGGGCUUGAAUUGCGCAGGAAUGUUGCCAGAGACGGCUUCAGCCUUUCGGGGCCUGCGUGAAGGUGCUGCAUGGUUGUCGUCAGCUCGUGCCGUGAGGUGUCGGCUUAAGUGCCAUAACGAGCGCAACCCCUCUCCUUCGGUUGCCAUCAGGUAAUGCUGGGCACUCCGUGGACACUGCCAUCGCAAGAUGUGAGGAAGGUGGGGACGACGUCAAAUCAGCACGGCCCUUACGUCCGGGGCUACACACGUGUUACAAUGGCGGUUACAGAGGGAUGCCACCCAGCGAUGGGGAGCCAAUCUCGAAAAGCCGCCUCAGUUCGGACUGGAGUCUGCAACCCGACUCCACGAAGCUGGAUUCGCUAGUAAUCGCGCAUCAGCCAUGGCGCGGUGAAUACGUUCCCGGGCCU
rnacentral:rRNA from 1 species